GGGCCUAUAGCUCAGCGGUAGAGCGGCCGGCUCAUAACCGGUUGGUCCCUGGUUCGAUCCCAGGUGGGCCCA
rfam:Syntrophobotulus glycolicus DSM 8271, complete genome.